rnacentral:rRNA from 1 species
AUUUAAAGUGGUACGCGAGCUGGGUUUAGAAUGUCGUGAGACAGUUCGGUCCCUAUCUGCCGUGGGCGUUGGAGAAUUGAAAGGGGCUGCUCCUAGUACGAGAGGACCGGAGUGGACGAACCUCUGGUGUUCGGGUUGUGUCGCCAGACGCAUUGCCCGGUAGCUAAGUUCGGAAUCGAUAACCGCUGAAAGCAUCUAAGCGGGAAGCGAGCCCUGAGAUGAGUCUUCCCUGAUACUUUAAGUAUCCUAAAGGGUUGUCGGAGACUACGACGUUGAUAGGUCAGGUGUGUAAGUGCUGUGAGGCAUUGAGCUAACUGAUACUAAUUGCCCGUGAGGCUUAACCAU